GCCGCCCUAGCUUUAAUUGGUUAGAGCGCUGCUCUCGUAAAGCAGAGGUUCGCGGUUCGAGUCCGCGGGGCGGCUCGA
rnacentral:tRNA from 1 species